rnacentral:rRNA from 1 species
UACGAAGGGGGCUAGCGUUGCUCGGAAUCACUGGGCGUAAAGGGUGCGUAGGCGGGUUUUUAAGUCAGAGGUGAAAUCCUGGGGCUCAACCUCGGAACUGCCUUUGAUACUGCAAGUCUCGAGUCCGAUAGAGGUGGGUGGAAUUCCUAGUGUAGAGGUGAAAUUCGUAGAUAUUAGGAAGAACACCGGUGGCGAAGGCGGCCCACUGGAGCGGUACUGACGCUGAGGUGCGAAAGCGUGGGGAGCAAACAGG